AUGCAACUCUAUGUCGACUCGCUACUCUCGUCGACUCUACAUUCGGCUUCCAUGGGUGGUGGUGACUGCUCAUCGUCGGUAGAUGUUUCUACCUCGACCUCUUAUGUCCUGUCCCUGUCUGCAUGUGAGAUUGCACAACAACGAUGCCUGCUUGAUGGUUGGGAUUCCUCACCGACAGUUUCUGCAGGUUCCAUGACUGACUCUUAUGGCAUUGAGAAACCACUUCCUACUCAUUCAGCUUCCACUUUGACCUCCGUUCGACCUAUGGGUCUCAUGUUCGUGUUCUUACGGCUCAUGGAACUCCACUCCCUGUAG
rnacentral:rRNA from 1 species